rnacentral:rRNA from 1 species
CCUACGGGAGGCAGCAGUGAGGAAUAUUGGUCAAUGGACGAGAGUCUGAACCAGCCAAGUAGCGUGAAGGAUGACUGCCCUAUGGGUUGUAAACUUCUUUUAUAUGGGAAUAAACUGUUCCACGUGUGGGAUUUUGUAUGUACCAUAUGAAUAAGGAUCGGCUAAUUCCGUGCCAGCAGCCGCGGUAAUACGGAGGAUCCGAGCGUUAUCCGGAUUUAUUGGGUUUAAAGGGAGCGUAGGUGGAUUGUUAAGUCAGUUGUGAAAGUUUGCGGCUCAACCGUAAAAUUGCAGUUGAAACUGGCAGUCUUGAGUACAGUAGAGGUGGGCGGAAUUCGUGGUGUAGCGGUGAAAUGCUUAGAUAUCACGAAGAACUCCGAUUGCGAAGGCAGUUCACUGGACUGCAACUGACACUGAGGCUCGAAAGUGUGGGUAUCAAACAGGAUUAGAUACCCGAGUAGUC